rnacentral:rRNA from 1 species
AGAGUUUGAUCAUGGCUCAGAACGUACGCUGGCGGCACGCCUAACACAUGCAAGUCGAACGAAGUAGCAAUACUUAGUGGCAGACGGGUGAGUAACAUGUAGGUAUCUACCCUUUGGCCUGGAAUAACACGAGGAAACUUGUGCUAAUACUGGAUAAGUCUUUACGGAGAAAGCUUUAUGCACCAUUGGAUGAGCCUGCACUUGAUUAGUUUGUUGGUGGGGUAAUGGCCUACCAAGACUGUGAUCAAUAGCUGAUUUGAGAGGAUGAUCAGCCACAUUGGGACUGAGACACGGCCCAAACUCCUACGGGAGGCAGCAGUGGGGAAUCUUGCACAAUGGAGGAAACUCUGAUGCAGCGAUGCCGCGUGAGUGAAGAAGGCCUUUGGGUUGUAAAGCUCUUUCGUCGGGGAAGAAAAUGACUGUACCCGAAUAAGAAGGUCCGGCUAACUUCGUGCCAGCAGCCGCGGUAAUACGAAGGGACCUAGCGUAGUUCGGAAUUACUGGGCUUAAAGAGUUCGUAGGUGGUUAAAAAAGUUGGUGGUGAAAUCCCAGAGCUUAACUCUGGAACUGCCAUCAAAACUUUUUAGCUAGAGUAUGAUAGAGGAAAGCAGAAUUUCUAGUGUAGAGGUGAAAUUCGUAGAUAUUAGAAAGAAUACCAAUUGCGAAGCAGCUUUCUGGAUCAUUACUGACACUGAGGAACGAAAGCAUGGGUAGCGAAGAGGAUUAGAUACCCUCGUAGUCCA